rnacentral:lncRNA from 1 species
CGGGAGAGAGAGAAGUUCUUGUCCCAGUUGUUCCAGUUGCUGUCGUUCUCGCAUCGAAAAGGUAAUUAUCCCAUAGUCUCCCUCGGGCUAGGCGCGCCCAGGCAGAGUUAGCGAGCCACGGAUGAAAUAUUCUUUGCGCCUGUUGUAACUGAAAGCAAGAAGAGAGGGUCGGGCCCUUGCUGUCUAACUGAAUGAAUCAGACUGAGUAGGGGAUCUGAUUAUGAACGAAGAGGGACAAACUCUCCAAGGACCGCUCGACCCACACGCCCAAAGGCAGGCGAAGGGCGCUCUUUCAUCCAUCAUAAGGAAGUGUCCCCGAAUUCUCUCUUUUUUCUUGAUGAGGACGCCGAUCAUUCUUUGAGCCUCUCUUUCUACAACUCAAAAGAGCCUAAGAAAUAAUCUUGAAUAAAGAAAGCACUAUUUUCAUGGUUUUGGGCCUCCGAAGUCGGAAAGAGAAAGCCUAUGGGGAAAUAGCAAUUCAUUCAUGGAUGACUUUUUUUUUGUCUUUCUUCUCCCCGAUCUCAGAACUAAGCUAGCAUACUCAACUGAAAAAGUGAGAAAGAAGGCUACUGACCACGGGGACGAGGGGCCGAGGACCUCUGUCUAUUCCUAGAUCCUCUUAUCGCCGACCAGGCGCCGGUCUCGCUUCUUCCACUUCAAGAGAUCAUGCUUCGGAAACUAUGACAGAUGUAGAUCCUAACCCAUUGCUCAUGCUUUCGGUUCUCUCUGAGUUAAAGAUUGUCGAGUGCGCUCUUCUUAUCAUUGAUCGGUCACCCUAGCGGAAUUCUAACUCUCUUAUUCUUUAAUGCAAUGACUCCAUACCUUUCCAAGACUUCCUUCCGCCCCUACUAUGGAAAGAAGCUCUUUCCCCUCCUCACCCACGUAGCAGCGGUAAAUCAGCUACCCGCGCUCCCUAACUUCCUUCAUCAAGAGAGUCAUGAAAACCCGCCGAUUAGACCUAGACCCGAGUCGAGCCGUUGCAGCUACGUCAGUUCUUUCCCUUUCUGCAGUGCUUGCUCUUGUUUAAGAGUCAGCUUCAGUCCUUCUUCGAUCAGAAGUUUCUCCAGUUUCAACAAGCAUUGACACCUUGAGACCAGUCAUCUGGACCCUUGUUUUUACCCAUUAAUGAAAAGUAUGUAUAGCUUUUUUUGGAAUUGAAUAUGGAUGUGGAAAUCUUCUUUCAGAGUCCUUCGCCUUGGAUCUGAUCUUUGCUCCUACGAUAGUAAUGUUUGUAAUAGUCUUCUAAAUCAUAAAAACCUCCUACGUCCUUCUACGCGGCAAGGAAUGCUAAGAGAAAGAAGAAAGACAACUCCGCAAUAUCCCUGUCUUAUUGCACCGCGUAGUGGCCCUAAUGGAUAGUCCUUCGGACCUGUCUUAUGGCGCGCCUCCGGACCUGUCUUCUCGCCUUUCUUUUUGGCAACAAAAAAAGCUUUACUAGAGGCGCAAAGAAUAUUGCGUGGAAGUUCACUAUCAAAGAAUAUUGACGAAAAGAAAAGAAGCUCAUUAACGAGAAUUAAAGAAGCUCAAAAUGAAUCUGCUAGAUUGAAGAGCUAGAUUUCAGAUUAAUCUGCUAGAUUGAAGACGGAGGGAAAUGCUAGGUUUUGGGCCUAUAAAGUAGCAAGAAAUCAUGAAAAAUCAGGCAAAAUUAGACAAUUAUCGUUAAAUAUCAAUCUUUGAUUUAGUCCUAUUUAGAAGCAAAAAAGCCGGGAAAACGCAAUGAAAGAAGAACUCCUAGGACAGGGAAAAUCAAUGAAGACUUCUAGUUUGAGUUUCUGGUCCGGAGAAAUACGGGUCUAUUCUUGAUUUCCCUCCGUAAAAACAAGGCUCAAAGAAUGAUCGGAUUCUUUCAUUCUCGUUAAUGAGCUCAUUUUCUACCUUUCAAACUGCUACAGCUGAUUAAGUCGCUUCGCUCCCCCUUCUUUCUUUCCUGCCCUUUCCUCCCCUAAACCUUUAGGUUAUCCAUCUCCGUCCAGGCUCCUUUGGUCACCUCUUCCUCCCCUCCACCCUCCGGAACAAGGUUUCUUUCCUACUACUGCUGAUUAGGUCGCUUCGCUCCGGAAGAAGGUUCAAAGAAUAUUGAGCUGCUUAUGCUUAGGUCGCUGCGCUCCACCAGGUUUCUUUCCUUCCCUUUCCCGGUUUGGAUUCAAACUUCCUUUUUCCCGGACUUCCAAAGGAAGAAAUUUCAGACUCGAGGUUAAGAGGCGGAAUCCUCUUUCGAGAGGAUUAGGCGAGACCGCUACGUGGGGGUUUUCGUUUAAGAAGAAGAAGUAAACCACUCUUUGGUUCAAGUCGCGAGGAGGAUCAAGAGGUUCUGGAGCUGAGUGAGGAUAGGACCAAGCGGUACGAGGAGAAGAAAAAGGAGACCAGCUUCACCUGCCCUUGUGGGAAAGCCGGAGGCUGGAUCGGAAUUUGCUCUUUUCACGUAGUUGAGGAAUGAAAUCACUCGACUUUAGGAAGAGGAAUGCUCUUGCCGACUCGAUCCCUCGGCCUCUCGCCUGGCUUCUUCUUCAUUUACGUAAAUAGCUUUGAUUACGCUGGUUCUUAAAACCUACGGCAAGGAUCCAUAAGACAGGUCCGAAGGACUAUCCAUUUGAGUUGCGUGAAGAAGAGAAGAUUUCCGGUCUACGAGUGCAAAUCGUCCCGGUUGAACGUGGACUGAAUUACACAACGGGAGAGAUACAAAAGGCUGCAACUAAGCAAUUCGUAUACGUUGAAAAAGUCAGCCUCACGCCCUGUGCUUUGGGAGAUCUUUCCCCCACCUCUUUCAGCCGUCCCCGUGGUGGAGGCAGAUCUUGCUUGCUUUUCUUCAAAGUGAUUAUUUCAUAGAAUGAAUGAACAAGUAGGAAAAACGAAUAUGAUGAAUAAGACGAGUACAAGAAGCAAGCCAAUACAAUAAAGAGGAUGAUCGUACGAGAGUACACCCACCACCAGCAUCUGAUCUCGAGAAGGGAAGGGGUCAGACCGAGGCAAACUAAGACGAAGCCGAAGCCAACCGGAAGCGAACCCCUCCUCUUUCCCUUUCAUCAGAGUCCGUCGCAUAGGAAGUCGAUUUGAUCCUCCCCUCUUUCAUCUGAAGUGGAAGUUCUUCUCCUUUCUGUGGCAGUUCUUUCUUCCCUGAUUCAUUCCCUUGCUUUAUUUGUUAUACUAUUUAGUAAGUAAAUCGUUCCGCUGGGGAAGAAAGAUCAGAGUUUAAGAAAGAGAAGAAGAUCAUCAGACUCGAGACCUUUAAUAAGAACGAGAGGCGCGAAGCGCAUUUAUCUGCAGGGGAGCGAGUCCUUCGGACAGGAGCGCAAGCGCAAGAAAGGCGAGCCCUUUAUUUCAUAGUAGGGUUCCAGAGGUUAUCAGCUAAUAUAAGGAUAGUAGUUAUAUCAGUCGACCAGCGAGACCGCUAAAGAGAUAAGAGUAUUCAAGAUCAGAGAAGAAGAGCUCUUUAUUUGCACUCCUUAAUCUCGCUUGGCUUCGCCCCUUAGUUUCUAAUAGAAUAUCUUCUUAUAAGUUUCGCGGGAUCAGAGCGAGAUUGUCUAUAGAAAGAAGUACGAUGUAAGCGGCCCGGUCUCCCACUGAAAGGAGAGGGAUGAAAUAGCUCGACCCCACUUUGCCCCAUAUAGUUAACUAAGAGAGGCCCAUUCCGCUUCUAAAAGCACAAAAAUCUGAGACUUUUCUACUUGAUUCUUUUACCGCUCGGACUCAUGGUGGAUUGAUUUGGGUUCAAAAUCAUGCAAACUAGAAAAAGACGCUAGCUACCGGAGGGCUCGAGGCGAGCUUAAUAGUAGGGUUGGAGAGUCAGCGGAAUGGAAGUUUCAUGAAGAUUUCAUGAUCCCACGGAGAAAAUGAGAAAAGAGCUUUAGUUUUUCAAGAGAAGAGUAUGAAAGAAAGAUCAGAGAAUGAAAAAGAGAGGUUCAAAGAAUAUUGACAAGAGAAGAGGAUAAAGGCUGUAGGGAAGAGGAGGAGCAAAGAAUUUGCGAAAGCACUGUCUCAAGAAUCAACUGAAAGAGAAAAGAGAGAGAAGAAGAGCAAGAGCUUGAUAGAUAAAGCACUUUCAUAUUAUUGAAUAAUAUUCUUUCCUUCGCAGCUCAGAAGAGCUUUCUAAACCUCAAAAUAAUCGGAAAGCCUAUCACUCGCAGUUUCGCAGAGCUUUAUAAAGAGGUUCAGAGCUUGAAUUACUACUUAGAUCUUUUGAAUAUCUGAUUCUUUCUUGAGCAGUAUUAGCUGCUCUUCUUUACUUCUUCUUGAGUUCUUCAUAUUUUCUUAUUGAGAGGGAGACGAAGCUGGAAUUGAGGAAGCGAGAUCACAGACAGACAGCUAGAUCAAAAUGAGUGGAUUAAUAGGAAGCCCACGGCGGGUGGGAGGUAAGGAGACUAAUCCCGUCCCCCCUUUCCUUAACCUCAUCCUUAUGCCGAGAAGGGAGAGGCGAGACUGAAGGGGUUAGUUGUCCGAUGUGAGGCAAAUGAGACACUCUCCUUUCAUCUUCGUUCACACUCUCUUAUCUUUCUAAGAAUGAUAUCAAAAAUCAAGGAAAAUAGGCUCAAACUCUUUCUCUAAGGACGCGGGAUGGGAGUGAGUUGAAGGCAUACGAUCUGAAAGAAUUGCUUGACUAAGGGCUGACCUACUAACAAGAAAAGCAAGCUUCCAAACCUACUCAAAUAUGGUAGAUUUCAGAGUCCUCACUGGUUUCAUUGAAAAGGUCCAGGUGACUAUUCGCUAUUCUAAAAGACUAGGAGUCUCUUAUUUACUUAUCAAGGGAUUCCACUAAUUCCCACCUUCCCUGCCCUGAAACCCACCCUCUUUCAUUCUCGUCCCCUCUUCGCUAGUCUCCCUCUUGAGCAGCAAGGGAAGGGCGAGUCUAAUUAAUCUGCCGAAAUAAGGGAGAGCAUCUCAAGCUCCCUGGCAAAAUGGACAAUUGAGUAAGAAAUCGCCCUAUGCUAACAGCAACUUUGAAAGUCAAAUCAGCCAUUAAUAAGGAAUCCUUUCGUUGCACUCCUAAUAAGAUAAGGGAUAAGUCUUUCUCUCCUUUCAGUCGAGACCUUGUUCAUGGAUUCAGUCGUCCUCCGGCAGGUCGCAAUAUGCGCCUCGUUGCGCUCCUUUCUUCUUUUCCGCAAUAUGAAAAGCUCCUAACUACUAAUGGAAAGGACUGAGGACGUCCGAAGGACUCUAAACCGGACGACCAUACAUAGGGAGAGGCGAGAUCUAAUAUGAGUUGAGAAGCGCAUGAAAUCAAUGAACAAGGGGCGCAAAGAAUAUAUAGAAGGGAAAAAAAUAGCCAUUGGACGGAGGACUCCUUUAUGGAACUUCCAAUUUCUUGGACUCUGAAAUCCAUAUUAACUUCUUGGACUCGUCCAAACCACUCGGAAUGCACUCGGAUCUCAUUAACCACGGAUCGAGCUCCGGACUCUGGUUUAGAGUCCACUGUAUUUCGAAUAAGAUACUCGGCCGGGAUUAGCUUCAUUUUACAGUAAGAUCCGCAGGAUAAUCUUUAGGAAAGAAUCGGACUAAGGAUCAGUUGGAAAAGAAGGACGGACCCCAUUCCGGUUGGUUCGCAGCUACCUUCAACUUCGCUCCGAUCAUUGUGCGGAGUGAAUACACUACUGCCAUGAAAACCCGGGAGCCGUAGACGUCUUCCUUGUCUACCGACCAUAAACUGAGAGCGAGGAGAGCAAGAAAGUUAGCUUUUCCCUUUCGUUUUGCCCGGUUGCCUCCUACCUUCAAAUCCGCGUCUUGAUGGACUCAAUGAGCCUCCGCUCCAUUCUUUUUUCUCUUCGGGUUAGCUAAGAGUUGCCUACGGGUUGCUUUAGAAGCUUUCCCGCGUAGGGUUCAAUCUUCGACAUCUGAUAAUUAGCGUUCUGAGCCAGCCAAGAAGUUUUUCUAUAAGAUAGAGAACAUUAUGCAAUCGAAGUACACUAAAAACCUACCCUCGAGUCAGCAAAGAAGGUUCAUUCUUAUCACUCUGGCCCAAUCGGGAAGAGACAAAAGAAAGGACAUUCUUCCCCCUCCGACGGAGCAAAGUUCAUUUAUAGGAGGACAAAAAUUCCCUAAUGGAUAGUCCUUCGGACCUGUCUUAUGGCACCUUCUGACUAUUCAUCCUAUUUCUUUAGGAGGACUAUGAAACCUAUUACUUUGAGAAGCGAGGCUGAAGGGUUAGAUAUUAUGUCUGGUGCACAGCUAUAGUAAUAGCACAAGAAAAAGACCAGGACGGAGAGUUGCAUCAUCAUAUUGCUCUCCUUAAUGAGAAUGCUUCAAGACAUAACAUAAUGCGAGAACCCGAAUAAGAGAAGCCUGAGAUUCAAAAUCAAGCUCCAGAUGAGUUGAGCUGUCUCACCUUGAAUAAGGGUUGGAGCACCCUUGUGCCUAUGUAAGAAAGCAAGGAGUUUCGCGCCCGUGGUAACUGGGGAAAGUUCUCGCUAACCGAGAUACUCAAGGAAGGCGAAGCUUCUCGAAAGCACAGAACAGAAGGGAAGGGCACCGCUCAUGAGCAUAGCGCUCAAACAAGAGCCCACGAAGAGGAUCAAAGAAUUUGACGAGAGCUAUGAGAAUUUCCUACAUCUAAGGAAAGAUCCGGAGCUCGCGGAGCUCCUCUUGUCCAAAUACAAUAAAUACCGUGAUCAACCUUUGGGUUGAUUCCCAGCACAUGAAGAUGAAGAUGCAGGAGAUAUCAGCUAUGGAGCUACGAGUAGCCUAUCUCUCAGAGAGAGGGCGGCCCCAAGAAUAGACCGCAGAGGAGCAACCUUGUACGGUUGCAUUUGCCGAAGGGCCGACUAUGGACUGAUCGUCCCCUAUCCACGCCUUAAAUAUGACUCCAUUAAAGGAGUAGAAAUCACUCUAAGCCAACCGCAGGGAUCUUUCACUACUCCAGAUUGAGUGGAAGGAGGGAAUCCUGAUUUUCCCAAUAAGGCGGGAGGAAGACGAGAAAAAGCCUUAUCUAGACCGCUCCGUGGGGAUUUCUCAACUCCGUGAAAUGCACCCACAAAGAAGUGAAUAUGGAUAUAAAGAAGUCCGACGGGUCCGGAGGACCAAUUCUAAUGGGGAUCGUUGGGGAAUCAAUUUCUUAAGAAUCUUUGACCCCGUAGUUAGGAGUAUUAAGACCGAAGGCGUCACAGGUCCGAAGUCCUCGCAAUAUUCUUUGCGCCUGUGAAAAGUCAAUCAAAGAAAAGAAAAUGGGAAUGCAAAAUGUGCAUCUUUGUGCUAGAUUUCAGAUGAAUCCGCGGAGGGAAAUGCUAGGUUUUGACAUAGGGAAGUAGCAAGAAAAGACAAAAAAUCAGUCAUUUUUAGACAAUUUUCGUUAAAUAGAAAUCUUCAAAAAAGUCCUAUUUAGAAGCAAAAAAGCCGGGAAAUAGCAAUGAAAGAAGAAAGCCUAUAAAAGAAAUUCACAUGGAUCAGUUCUAGUUUGAGUUUAUGGUCCGGAGAAAUACAGGUCUAUUCUUCUCAAUAUUCUUUGACCCUCCGUCUUCAAUCUAGCAGAUUCAUAAUUCUUCUUGAAUUCGAGUUAAUGAGCUUCUUUCUUUGCGCCUGCGCCUGGACCAAAGGUUAAUAUGGAUGGAUAGUCCUCCUUCUAAUGGAUAGUCCUACUUCGGUUAAUUACGGAUGGUCCUACGGAUAAAUCCUCCGGACUCCGGAUAAAUCCUGCGGACUCCGGACUCCGGACUACUUCUGUUAAUUACGGAUGGUCCUACUUCGGUUAAUUACGGAUGGUCCUACUUCCAUAUGGAUAGUCCUACGGAUAAGAAUCCUCCGGACUCCGGACUACUUCCAUAUGGAUAGUCCUACUUCCAUAUGGAUAGUCCUCCGGAUAAAUCCUGCGGACUCCGGACUCCGGACCCUGGACCUUUCUUUGAUGGAGGUGAAAAGAAGAUUUUCGGACAUUCCCUGAAGCAGGAAGGUCACAUCCAGAGUCAGAAGUCAAUCUUCUUCCACCAGUCCCAGUGCCAGCUGAGGCAGAAAUACUUCACUCCCACUACUAGGUAGUUCUUCGGGGUCGGGUUGAGGCAGAGGUCCCAGUUCUUCUUGCUUUAGUUGAAUAAAGAUCAGUCGCAUCGUCCGUUGAUCGCUAUCUGAUCUCUUUAUGAAAGAAUGAAAGGGAUCACCACAGGGGAAUUGAGAUCACUUCCGAUACAUAUUCAAUAGUUCAGUUCUCGUAACCAUACUUUUUGUAUAUAGUUUGAAGCUAGUUCUUCAAGUUCGAGAUCGGUUGAGUUGAUAGUUACCGGCAUCUCCGGGACCGCAGUCCACUAGUGGUGGAGAGCUCUCGUCCGCUUUCUUUUCGGUGGGAAUCAGCAUCGGCAGAUGAAAGGUAGACUGAAACUGCCCCUCGGUAAAAUGCUAUUUUUCAUCUAUCAAUAUCCGAAGUAUUAGGCGCAAUGAAAUAUGCGAUUGCCUUCCAAAAAAAAAAGCUGUUAAAGCACUAAGUCAAAUGCUAGGGUAAGGCCAUCUAAUUACAGUAGGCAGUAGGAGUUACCAUCCCUCCAGUCCCCCUUUGCUUCCAACCAGUGUAGGAGUCGUUUUCUAGGCUCAUUCCCAAUCCAGUAGGAAAGCAGGCUCUAGGUCGAGAUAGACAGCAAGUAAGACAGUCGUCUGUCUAAGGGAAGGGUCUUACAGGAUUGAGAGAAGAUAGAAUUGGUAAUUGGGCUCUGUGGUCAUUCCCCUCUCUUUUGGUUGAUGAAUAGGUGAGCGCAUGCGGUUACUUCCGAACGAAGCGGUGGCAAGCUUUAGCUUAGCUGGCUAGCUGAAGAGAACAUGGGUUAAUGGGCUCUUAAGGCUUUCGGGUUCCCACCAGCUUUGGCUGCCCUGGGUCAAGACACUUUCAUGAAAGGAUGAGAGUUGCCAACCACAAGGAUCUUAUUUCCAAUCUUCGAAAAAGUCGUUCAAGAGCGGUAUUCUAAAUGAUGAGUUCUCGCUUGCACGCGCCACGUCGAAACUCAAGUCUUAGAACUCUUGCUCCUACCUUCUCAACUAUAGGAUACCACCAUCUGAUAUUGCUAGGCCCCACCACACAGAAUGAUGAACUUUGCGCCUCCAGGAAGGUCAAGCCAAGCCUUCAUGGAAUUUGUCUGGGCGAGAAGGGACUGUGACUCUGAGUCUAUUCUCGUCAUGAUCGAUUCACGUCCUACCUACGUUUGCUGAGAACCAAAGCUAGCAACCUCAGUCUUUGGAAAGGAAAGGAGAGGUGUGAAAGCCACUCGACUUGAAAGGAAAGAAAUAUCUGGCGUGCCGAACUUCAGUUACAACACUCUUUCCCUCCGAUCUGGGGGCUAGCUUGCUUCCACUGGUGGCGGGCGAAGGGUGCUCCGGAACUCCCAUCCAUCAGAGUGAGUUCCAGAAGGAGAUGUUCGCCGAGAGGUUUAGGAGAUAGGCUCAACCCCCACUCAUAGGUUUAGGCAGUUCGACCAGACGAGGAUGUGGUUUGUGCCCGCUCUUCCGCUUUUCAUCCUUUCUUUGGUGGAAAAAGCAGUCGCUUUUGUUCUUGAUUUGCUUAGAUUCAGAAUCUAAUAUAUAUAUAUAACUCAAAUCUCGGUUUAUGAUAAGAAAGAUUCCCAUGCUUAUAUUCAGAACUCCCACUGGCAUUUAACGAGAAGCAAGGGCUGCCGCUUUAGUGGAAUGAACGAGUCCUUCGGACGGCUAUGAGAUCUCUCAUUCUAAGGCGCAUCCGUCCCCCUCUUUCGGAGGCAGAUAAGGAAAAUCCCUCGUCCAGUCGGUCCUCCGGCAUUGAAUGAGAUCUCUUGACCAAUUUCUUCAUUUCCUGAUGUCUGACUGAGGCUUGUCACGGUACUCUCCAUCAUGGGUGAGGUUCAAUCCUCUCAUUCAUUUGAAGCGCUUUCCAUCCUCCAUUCCAAUUUUCCCAUGGCAUCUUUCUUCGUAAACAUUGAGAUAAAGUAGAAGCUCCCAUGACACAGGGACGGGAGGAGUUGAACCUCUCCUCUAAGUCGAGCGUCUGAGAACCUCUACCUCUCGAGUGGCCUGACCACGUCCCGCUAUUUCAGUAGUCUUUCAUCUUACUCGUUCAGCAAAAUCAAUAGAUAAUCAGAAGCCCUAACAAGAGCAUCUGCCACGGUGGGAUCCUUCCUAUCAUUCCAUUCUUUUUGAGUUUUAGUGAAGACCCCUCUAGUCAUCUGGACCUUUGUUUUUGGCGUGGGAAUUGAACCAGAUCCCCUUUAUUAAGGAGUAAGCCCACUCCGCGGUGCCAUAAGACAGGGAUAUUGUAAGGUCUAUAUUCUUCAAAAAACUGUUAGUAGCCUGAAGUCUUGUUUUUUAGAAGGAGUCAAAACUACUAUUCUCAUAAUCUACUCUAAGUGGCUUAUUUAGUGAAAAUGGUAAUUCAGCGGUUUCCGUGAAUCAAUAUAUAUUGCAUUCUAUCUUUUCUUGUGGUUUGCAUUUGCGAGACACAUGAAAGACGGAGAAAUACCAUAACUAAAAGAACCCAACAAAGGAGGACAAAGGCCAUUACGUACUCUGAGGAAGCACAAGGCGGGAGGAGAAUAGAAUAUUCUCUCUUUUCGGAGUGGGACCAAAGCAAAGACUAGACUCCAAAAGGCUGUUCGCCCAGAGGCAGUUCGACCUGUGGAUGUGGCUGCUUUUCUUGUUCUUUCUGUGGCAGAAGUCGUUGUUUUUGACAGAGUGUAGGCUCAAUGCAAUAUGAGCUUCUUUCAAAGCAAUUAUUCUGGUAGGAUAAAGAAAUGGAUGAAAUAGAGGGACGGAAGUAGCUCGACCAUAGGAAGAGGGACGGUGCGGUCUUUUUCUCAUUUAUGAGAUUAGUGAAUUAACGAAGAAGAACUCCUUCUACAGCCUAGUGGCCCCGAACCACCCGUGAAAAGAUAAAUGGACUAUCUUCCCAGGAAAGAAGGGGAAGGCCGGGUUUCAGGGAACCUCAAAGACGCGCCAUUUAUUAGUGACCAUUUUGCAAGGUUUUGACCUCUCCCAUAAGAAGAGAUACAUCAAAAUAGAAUAUGAUCCUCUUUUUAGUUUGAGUAGGUUUAGUAGGAAAAGAAAAAGCCUAGUAGAAGGCAUCAAAAUUCACCUUGUUCAUUGAUUGAACUUGAAUCUGCGUACUCGCAUAUUGAAUUUUUCCUUAACUGCGCCUACUUUAGAGCGAGUCUGAAAUCCAAGAAUAUCCCUGUCGAGCCUACAUCGCAAUAUUCUUUGCACCUUUAUCUUAACGGUCAAUGAAAUUUGAGAGAAAGAAUAUUUCAUUCCAAAAAAAAAGCUAUUAUAUGGAGCAAAGUGAUUUAUAGGAAAGCCCACGGAUUAAUUGACUGGAUCUUGUUGGAGAACUAAAAACCUAUCUUUAUAGUGGGACUUCUUUAUAUCCACUUAUUUAAUUAAUUGGAUCUUUCUUCUUCUUCUUUUUUCAGCCUUCGUCUUUGCCCCUUCGAUAAUUCUUUGAGCCUCUGGACUCAUUCAUUCCACCACCAGCCACCCCGUCCUUUUGACCUGGAUAUUCCACGGACUUAUUCCACCGCGUAGUGCGAUCUAUAUUUUGCCUUUCCAGAUCCGAUGUGCUGGCACCUUACGAGCCGUGGGGAUCCAGUGUACCAGGGCGCUUUCUUCUACUUUGAUAUUCCCUCGUCUACCAGGAUCAGGAUAAGGUUCCUUGCUUCUGAAUUAGUGAUUGAUUUGACCUUUCUCAGAGCAAAGAAAGAAGACGACUGCCUCGGCGAAAGAGAUGAAAGAAGGAGAUCAGCCACAAGAGCUGAAAGGACUGCUUCCCUUGAAAGCGCACCAAGGUACUGCCUCGAUCCUUUACCUCGUCAAAGUUAAGCUUCUUCGAUCCCUCUUCUGGAAACCUUGGGUUUCGCCUCCACAAGGCUUGGGGAAUUUACGUGCUUUGACCGACCGAAUGCUCAAAUAUGAACUAUAUUGAAAAAGAAGGAGUGGGCUUCAGUCUCUCCAUUCAAUGCUUUGGCGCAAGACUGCCCUCAGCACUCUAUUUGGUCACUCCCACUGUGACUGAUCCCUCUUCCGCGUAAGGGGUCGGGCCUCGUCUCGAGUUAGUUUACGUAAAAAGAUAAGAGGAAUCUCAUUAUGACUUGAGAAAGCCAAGCUUAUGAAAUGCGGGGUAUCUUUCGAGAAAGGUAUCCUUCUCCUGCAUUUGACGAUAUAGGUCGGCUUCGUCCAUCUCGCGAUCGUCCUCCUAUGCCCGGUUCUUCUCUUUAGUUUACUCUUAAUCGGGGUUCUACCGCACCCCUUUUCUAUUUCUUUUUGUGAGGGACUCAAAUUCUUUGAGCCUCCGUUCCAAAGCCUAAUUGCUGGAGAGGUCUCUCCUUUUAUUCACAGACAGAAAGAGAGAAGUCCAAUUAAAAGAGAAAUUCAUGAUUUCAUGGAAUGGGUUAGAAAAAAAGAGAAUGAGCACAGGCGAGAUCUAAUAUGAGUCUUCUAUAAUUUCAGAUUUCCUAUAUUAUUCUAAUCGUCAUAAUAGGGAAUGAAUCAGGUUAUUUGUCCAAAAGGAGAAAAGUGAAAGUGGAAUUCUCACAAAAUCAACCCCUUGUUCAUUCAGGCUAGGCUUUCUAGUAAUC